GGUGACUAGUGACAGCGUUAGGGAGGGAAGGGGUGACUAGUGACAGAGUGAGGAAGGGGGUGACUAGUGACAGAGGGAGGGGUGACUAGGGACAGAGUGAGGGAGGUGGUGACUAGUGACUAGUGACAGUCACCACCUCCCUCACUCUGUCACUAGUCACCCCCUCCCUCACCGUGUCACCCCCUCCCUCUGUCACUGGUCACCCACUCCUUCCCUCACUCUGUCACCAGUCACCCCUUCCUUCCCUCUGUCACUAGUCACCCCUUCCCUCACUCUGUCACCCCCUUACUCUG